GCCUCCUUAGCUUAAUGGAUAAAGUUCUGGUUUCCGAAACCAGCGAUAUGCGUUCGAUUCGCAUAGGGGGCA
rnacentral:tRNA from 1 species